rnacentral:lncRNA from 1 species
UCUUGAACUCUAGUGGUUUUGGAACUAUUACUCACUGCUUGCUAGAAAUUUUUAGCCAAUAUACUUAUGCUUGUUUGGUUGAGAUUGUAAUGCAGUGACCUAUGGGUUGGCAUUUCCAUUUGCUCGACCGCAGAAUAUGAUUUCAUCAUAAAUUAUGCCAUUUUAUCUUAAAAUAACCUUCUCAUGUGGCAUUCUUCCUGCAGAGAGUUCCGGAACAAAAUGUUCAAGCUCACAUGGGUUCUUUUGCUUUAAUUGGAAGUGUUGCACUUCAACCAAUGUGUUUCUUGCCUGGUAUAUCUCCUCUCUCUGUGUUAGUGUAGCAUGUAUAAAUUUUUUGUUGAAGCAUUUAUGACAUUGUGAAGCUCUGUUAGAGGUUAGAUAAUUUGUAAUCUGAAUUGUAGUUCACUUUGUACUUUCUCCUAGGCUUUUUGGUUGUUAUUGCACAUAUAACAUGGUGCUUUGACCAUAUAAUUAGGUGGUUAGAAAAGCAGAGUUGCAUUUGCCAAGUUAACUUUCAAGCAACCUCACAUAGUUUUGCUUGACAAGCCAUCCAAUCAUAUGGUAAGUUCUACUCAUAUUUCUCCAUUUUAUGACUUUGAUUACUUUUUUCAGUUAGUUUAUUAUUGUCCUUGCACUAAUUGAACUUGUCGGAAUUUGGUCUUUACAUUAAAAUUAAAGUAGAACCAAUUAGUGGUCACAACUGCUGGUAGCCCUUGUCAUCAUACAUCUAGCAAAUAAUGGAAUAGAAACCAAUCUAAUUGCUCCAAUGUGGAAAAUAUUCUGAAUAGAGUAAUCUACAAUACCAAAUGGUACUAAUCUCUAUGCCUAUAGGCAAUAUUGGGCUUUAUAGACAAAUAUGUGGACCCCUUUUUGUUUAUAUAUCUGGUCUUUAAGUUUUGCUUUAAUGACCAGUGACUAAAGAAUUAUCUUUGUAAAUUGUUAUUUUCUUGUCUAAUGAUUAGUGUUUCUGUUUAUUUGCCUAUCCACAACUGUAGGAUUUGGAUGUAGCUGAGGCACUCAUUCAAUGUCUAGCCUUGUUCCACGGAGUAAUUUCGAUGGUGAGAUUGAUUUUCUUGUCAAAAUACUUCAAUUUGACCAAUGAUGGAUAAUUUCAUAGCUAAUGGCCCUCUUUUCACCUUGAUUUGCAGGUUAGUCAUGGUGAGCAUCUAAUAGCUAGAAGCUUGGAUGAGGUCUGGGUGGUUUCACAAGGCAAGGUGGCGCCUCUCCACGGGAAUUUCCGGGACUAUAGAAAUGUACUCCGGUUUUUGUUGAAUCAAGUGAAUCUAGUUAUUGCCAUCAACUAAGAAUGGUUCACUAGGUUCACAUUACCUCACAUAACUGAAAAUGAGCGUUAGCUACAUAGAGAAAGCGAAAAAGAAUGAAGAGAGGAUUGCUGCUAAUUGACACAGUUACACCAGCCCUUAUUUGUCAUUUACACGUGAUAAGGGCGCGUGGAAUGAUGAGUCUGAGUUUUUGACAUCGAGCAUGCAGUAUCAUCUGUAAUAGCUUAAGAACUGAGUUGGGAUUGCGGUCCUAAUAUAAUUUAUGAUUCUUUGCACAUUUUGUUCUAGCAAUAGGUUCAUUUGUUGUGCCCUUGGAAGUUUGAUACUCUAUUGCCACUGAAGUUAGCUUUCCCCUGCACACUAAAACGAUUUAAUCAUUUGCAAAUGAAUGUUUUUGCACAGUAAAUUAUUUUGUAAGACAAUCUAUUUUGUGAGAAAGCUAUAUUAAUAUAUUUUCCCCAUUUUCACUCUUUGGCACUAUUUAGGAGAAUUAAUUAUGAAAAUAUUAUCACGGUCAACAAAACUUUAUAUUCAACUCUAAGUACAGAAUUGCUUUUACUAACUAUAACGUAGGCCUUGCAUAGCUUGGUCAAAGAUUAUAUUUCAUCCUUCUUUUAUUCAAAUACAUGAGAAUCAUGAAGAAUCAAUGGUGUUCCACAAUCAUAUUCCUCUGCAUUUUCAGCAUCUGUUGUGUGCUAUCUUCCCAACAUCUUUUUCUCGUGCCCUAGCUCAUCCACUUUGAUUGUUCUGCAGAUGACAUUGUCAUCUAUAUAGGCAAAAUCUCUUGGAAGGAUCACUUGUGAAAACUGUUGAGGUAGGGCUGUGUUGUCAAUGUUAUGUGUCAUUGUUUACAAUUUACAAGAAAGGAAGAAGCAAUUAAAUUUAUUUGGUGCACUGAUAUGCUAUAAAUUUUCUUCUUGCGAUUACUAUCCAAAUAAGAAUAAUCUCUCUCAAAAUCUAAAAAUCGAAUUAGUCAUGUGGAAGCUGUGAUAUGAUUGUGAAGAAAGGAGAUGUAAUUUUUUUUUUUAAUUAUGGUUUUCCUUAGAAUUGAGAACCUUCUUUUUGUUGAUGAUGAUCCUUUGUAGUAUUAAGCAGUCUAUUUGGGUGCUCAUGGCUCUAAGCUUUCAAUGCAACACAAAUUCAUGAUAGGAUCGAUAUUCAUAAACCACCUUAUUUUUGGGUCUUGAUCUCUGUUGAGUUAGGAACUAUUACCUACAGCUUGCUAGAAAUUUUUAGCCAAUAUACCAUGCUUAUUUGGUUGAGACGGUAACGAUAUCCUACCUGCCUCUAGGUUUGCAUUGUCAGUAGUGACCUCUAGGGCAAAUCUUGUUGGUUCUUUAAAUUCGUCAUACACCAUGUCAUUGUAUCCGAAAUUACCUUCUUAUGUGGCAUUCUUCCUAAUCACUUGGGUUUCUUUGGUCUAACUAGAAAUCCUGCACUUGAAUCAAUGUAUACCUUGUUUGGAUCAUCUCC